rnacentral:tRNA from 1 species
GCGGUAGCUCAGUUGGUAGAGCAAAGGACUGAAAAUCCUUGUGUCGGCGGUUCGAUCCCGCCCCAC